rnacentral:rRNA from 1 species
AACGAACGCUGGCGGCAGGCUUAACACAUGCAAGUCGAGCGCCCCGCAAGGGGAGCGGCAGACGGGUGAGUAACGCGUGGGAAUCUACCUUUUGCUACGGAAUAACGCAGGGAAACUUGUGCUAAUACCGUAUGUGCCCUUCGGGGGAAAGAUUUAUCGGCAAAGAAUGAGCCCGCGUUGGAUUAGCUAGUUGGUGGGGUAAAAGCCUACCAAGGCGACGAUCCAUAGCUGGUCUGAGAGGAUGAUCAGCCACAUUGGGACUGAGACACGGCCCAAACUCCUACGGGAGGCAGCAGUGGGGAAUAUUGGACAAUGGGCGCAAGCCUGAUCCAGCCAUGCCGCGUGAGUGAUGAAGGCCUUAGGGUUGUAAAGCUCUUUCACCGGUGAAGAUAAUGACGGUAACCGGAGAAGAAGCCCCGGCUAACUUCGUGCCAGCCGCCGCAGUAA